AUACGUAGGGGGCGAGCGUUGUCCGGAAUGAUUGGGCGUAAAGGGCGCGUAGGCGGCCCGGUACGUCUGGAGUGAAAGUCCUGUUUUUAUGUGGGGAAUGGCUUUGGCAACUGUCGGGCUUGAGUGAAGGAGAGGUAAGUGGAAUUCCAAGUGAAGCGGUGGAAGGCGUAGAGAUUGGGAGGAACACCAGUGGCGAAGGCGAAUUACUGGACUGUAACUGACGCUGAGGCGCGAAAGUGUGGGGAGCAAACAGGAUUAGAUACCCUGGUAGUCCACACUGUAAACGAUGAAUGCUAGGUGUAGGGGGUAUCGACCCCUUCUGUGCCGCAGUCAACACAAUAAGCAUCCCGCCUGGGGAGUACGGCCGCAAGGUUGAAACUCAAAUGAAUUGACGGGG
rnacentral:rRNA from 1 species